rnacentral:rRNA from 1 species
UUUUACCUACGGGGGGCAGCAGUGGGGAAUAUUGGACAAUGGGCGCAAGCCUGAUCCAGCCAUGCCGCGUGAGUGAUGAAGGCCCUAGGGUUGUAAAGCUCUUUCACCGGAGAAGAUAAUGACGGUAUCCGGAGAAGAAGCCCCGGCUAACUUCGUGCCAGCAGCCGCGGUAAUACGAAGGGGGCUAGCGUUGUUCGGAAUUACUGGGCGUAAAGCGCACGUAGGCGGAUCGAUCAGUCAGGGGUGAAAUCCCAGGGCUCAACCCUGGGACUGCCUUUGAUACUGUCGAUCUGGAGUAUGGAAGG